rnacentral:rRNA from 1 species
UACGAAGGGGGCUAGCGUUGCUCGGAAUCACUGGGCGUAAAGGGUGCGUAGGCGGGUUUUUAAGUCAGAGGUGAAAUCCUGGAGCUCAACUCCAGAACUGCCUUUGAUACUGAAAGUCUUGAGUAUGGGAGAGGUGAGUGGAACUGCGAGUGUAGAGGUGAAAUUCGUAGAUAUUCGGAAGAACACCAGUGGCGAAGGCGACUUACUGGACACAUAUUGACGCUGAGGUGCGAAAGCGUGGGGAGCAAACAGG